GAGCCUUGAGCCUGUGGCCUUUAUUCUGCAGACCAAAACCACAACCAUGUCACUGCGAGACUGCCAGGCGUGGAAGGAUGCUGGUCUCCCGCUCUCAACCACAAGCAAUGAAGCCUGCAAGCUGUUUGAUGCCACCCUGACCCAGUUUAUCAAGUGGACCAAUGACAAGAGUCUUGGUGGCAUUGAGGGCUGCCUGUCAAAGCUCAAGGCAGCAGAUCCAACCUUUG